rnacentral:rRNA from 1 species
UACAGAGGGUGCAAGCGUUGUUCGGAAUUAUUGGGCGUAAAGGGCGCGUAGGCGGGCUCAAAGUCAGGGUGAAAUCCCACGGCUCAACCGUGGAAGUGCCUUGAUACUGUGAGUCUCGAGGGAGGUAGGGGCGUGCGGAACUUCCGGUGGAGCGGUGAAAUGCGUAGAUAUCGGAAGGAACACCGGUGGCGAAAGCGGCGCGCUGGACCUCUUCUGACGCUGAGGCGCGAAGCCAGGGAGCAAACGGG